AAGAUUUGUUGAGCACCUGAAUGAAUGAAGCAGGCGUUAUGUAUUUAACGUUGUUUUUCAAGCUACUAAGGUUUAUUUAUAUUUAUUUCUUAAAUUGUCAGCUGUCAUAAAUAGAAAGAAAAUGUAAAAAUUAAAAAUAAAAUGAUACUGAAUUCUAAAUAGGUCCAAACGCUGAGUGUGAUGCUUAACACGUGGCAGGAGAGGCCUUAAAGCAUCACACUGAGACUUCCUCUAAGAGGAAGCACUGAAAGAAAAUGACAGCGCAGGUGAGCCUCACAGUAGCUGAUGUUAUUCAAGGUGUUUCCCUGCCACCUAGAACCCUCUCAGGCACCACCAGCAAUAAUGAGCUUUCUUAUCUGCAGAAGCCCUCCUUGUGGAGAUGAGCAGGUCGGCUGAGAAGAAGUUGUGAGCCCAUUUUACAGGUGAGGUGGAAAGAAGGUCAUCCCUGAGCUGAACGUCUAGGGUUAACUCUGCGCCAAGCUCUUGCUCCUAACGGCCUGAUGUCUCAUGCGAAGAAGCAGUGUUAGAAGAAGUGCCUGGAUGCUUGUGAGGGAUGCUUUUCACUUUCAGAAGUUGAAGAGAGUUUUAGAUGUGGAAACUCCAAAAUAGCUUGAUCUAAGAAAUUGAACCAGCGGAUACUGAUGAUAACAAAAGAAACCAACAAAAUCUCUGGAGAGAUUGGGAAAGGACAACGUGAACUUGUUACAGGUUUUCUACUGACUUGCAGGAUGACUCUGGCCAAGUCCCAAGAGACCCAGACACACAGGGGGAACCCUAAAGCUUUUGAUACAACUUCUCUCGACAGCAUUUGCAGUUCAAAUUCUGGCUGCCCAAGCAAAAACGUCAGAGUUCUCAUUAAAGGAAACGAAGCAAGUCUCUAGGAGAGAUUUUUGGCUCAGUUUUUCUCUGAACUAUACAACUGGGCAAUAUUCUCAGCCACUCCUUUCCCAAGUCACUUUCUCCUGCCUGAAUUAAGAAACCCAGUUUGAUGGACCUGGAAAGAAAAUGAUUCAUAAUGACUGUGGUUUAUAGAUGUAUUUUUUAAAUUAGCUCCAUGUGAGCCAAGGUCCCCAAUUCUUGCUCUUGUCAAGGGAGGGCCAUUUUGACAGGUCCUGCCAGGAGCCCCUGUGGGCUGGUUACUAAAUGUCUUCCUUUGUUCUUGAUUUCAUCCAGGGGCAGGAGACUGCAGGUGCCAAGAUGCACUGCAGUCAGGCUUCCUGCAGAGCCCUGAGACCUGAGGUCCCCUGGCCUCAAUUCAAUAAAAGAUAAACCUCCUCUCUUCCCCCUACCUGGGGACACUCUGCAAAGGGCCUCAUCUAUUUUUCUACCAGGGGCAGCAGUCAGACACCAGCCAGGCAGGCAGGGGAUCCUGGCCAGGUUCCUGACUCAGAGCAUCCUCUGUCUCUUAGCCCCCUGAGCUCCUGGGCCCUCACUCUGCCCUCACUAAGCCCUCCCUGCCCAGCAGCAAACAAUCAGUUGCUGGCUGCUCCCCCCAGCCCCGCUGGCUGCCAAUCAGCCCAGCUAUAGG